rnacentral:rRNA from 1 species
ACGAACGCUGGCGGCGUGCCUAAUACAUGCACGUAGAACGCUGAAGAGAGGAGCUUGCUCUUCUUGGAUGAGUUGCGAACGGGUGAGUAACGCGUAGGUAACCUGCCUUGUAGCGGGGGAUAACUAUUGGAAACGAUAGCUAAUACCGCAUAACAAUGGAUGACACAUGUCAUUUAUUUGAAAGUGGCAAUUGCUCCACUACAAGAUGGACCUGCGUUGUAUUAGCUAGUAGGUGAGGUAAGGGCUCACCUAGGCGACGAUACAUAGCCGACCUGAGAGGGUGAUCGGCCACACUGGGACUGAGACACGGCCCAGACUCCUACGGGAGGCAGCAGUAGGGAAUCUUCGGCAAUGGGGGCAACCCUGACCGAGCAACGCCGCGUGAGUGAAGAAGGUUUUCGGAUCGUAAAGCUCUGUUGUAAGUCAAGAACGGGUGUGAGAGUGGAAAGUUCACACUGUGACGGUAGCUUACCAGAAAGGGACGGCUAACUACGUG